ACGGGGUGCAGCAGGCGCGAAAACUGACCAAUGCGCGAAAGCGUGAGUCGGUCAAUCCGAGUGUAGACCCAUCGGUUUACUUUUAUCAAGUAUACAACGCUUGGUGAAUAAUGUGAGGGCAAGACUGGUGCCAGCCGCCGCGGUAAAACCAGCUCAUAGAGUGGUGAUCAUGAUUAUUUGGCUUAAAGUGUGCGUAGCAGGGAAUUCUAAGUCCUCUGUGAAAUGUCAGGUCUUAAGCUUGACCCGUGCCGAGGAUACUGGAAUCCUUGGGACUGGGAUAGGUGUAAUGUACGGUUUGGGUAGGGGUGAAAUCCGAUAAUCCAAGCCGGACAACCGGUGGCGAAGGCGUUACACUGGAACAGGUCCGACUGUGAGGCACGAAAGCUAGGGUCGCGAGCCGGAUUAGAUACCCGGGUAGUCCUAUGCUGUAAACGAUGCUCACUAAGUGUUAGGUAAUGCAAGACAUUCUCUAGUGCCGAAGCGAAAGCGUUAAGUGAGCCGCCUGGGAAGU
rnacentral:rRNA from 1 species